rnacentral:lncRNA from 1 species
CCUCGUCAGUCUAAUCACACACACAGCCCAAGAUCACCAGGCGAUGUGAGACUCGUCUCGCUAGCCCGUCAUCCAGACCCUGGCUCAGCCGAGACUCGCCACACAUGUCCAGCUGGUGAACCGGCUCUGAUACCAAAUGUAACGACCUAGCCCACUAGCAAUAAUAACUCGUUGGGCCCAACCACAGCCCAAAAUGCUUAAGCCCAGUUAUUAUUACUAGUGUCUAAGUCUCUUAUAAACCCAAUAACAACCCCAUUUCCAUCCGAUGUGGGAUUAUUGGGGUGCCACAGACUCCCCCCGUUAAGGCCCUGACGUCCUCGUCAGUCCAAUCACACACACAGCCCAAGAUCACCAGGCAAUGUGAGACUCGUCUCGCUAGCCCGUCAUCCAGACCCUGGCUCAGCCGAGACUCGCAACACAUGUCCAGCUGGUGAACCGGCUCUGAUACCAAAUGUAACGACCCAGCCCACUAGCAACAAUAACUCGUUGGGCCCAACCACUGGCCCAAAAUGCUUAAGCCCAAUUAUUAUUACUAGUGUCUACUAAGUCUCUUAUAAACCCAAUGACAACCCCUUUCCCAUCCGAUGUGGGACUAUUGGGGUGUCACAAUCAUGUGGUUUUACUGAUUUUUGUUUCAUAAGUUGUUCAUGCUUCUCAUGUUUUGUGGCCCCUAGGAUUAUCUAGCAUCUAUAUAUCAAUUUGCUGAAAAUUUUUGGAAUUAAAGAAAUGUUCUUAUGUUUCAUAUGUAAAAUUCAUUAUGUUUAAUAGGUGAUUUUUCGAAAAUGUCCUCGUGGAUUCUUGUACUUGUGGUCCUUAUGGCUGGGGGUGGUCGCGGAAGCAAACGACGGCGCUCCAAAGCUAAACGGCCGGUUGAGCAACAACCAGAAGAUGAAGGGAGCGAAUAUGCUCCAGGCGACGAAUCUGAAGAGGACGAGCCGGAUUGGGAGGCUUUUGCUCCUGAGGUGUUAGCUAAGGAUAAGGAUACAGGAAAAGGAAAAGGAAAAGGAAAAGACGUGGAUAAAGGCAAAGGAAAGGCAACUGAACGUACCGGUCGUCGCAAGUCUGGGGGUGUUGAAAUUAGAGAACCAGGUUCUGAGCCUCCGCGUCAUAGUCUGCAGGAUGUUCCGUCUGCUCGAAGGUCAAUGUACUCGUCGAAGCAUUGUAUUGGAGAGCGCGGUGUUGGUGUGGCCAGUAUCAUUGAUUGUGUGCCGGGAUUUCAGGAUUUAUUUGAAAAAGAAAAUCUUCAUCAGAUUUGUGAUUUUCCGGAACAAACUGGAUUCUGUUUGGAGUUGAUUAGAGAGUUCUAUAUGCGAGCAGGUUACUUGAAUGACUCCGACGGGGGCCCGUACGUAUUCACAUACAAUUAAUUCCUAGGUCUUGCAUUAUGUGUAGAAUUUUAUUUUAUAUGUAUUUAGAAUUUUCAUUGAUUAUCGGGUCAACAAUUUUGCCAAAUUGAAUAUCCUUGAUAUUGAUUUUUCAAAACUUAUUUAUGAAAUUUUAUUUGAAAUUUUUGGGGAUGGAAAUUGGUUAUUUAUGUUGAUUGAACAUUGUGGAAUUACUUGUAAUUUUUCUGAAAAAAAUUUUGAGCUUAAAUUAAAAAUUUUUCAAAAUUAAGGCUCUGGGACCGGUCCCAGGCAAGAGAGACCGAUCCCUCCGCCCGAACCAGAUAUAAAGGUUUGCGGUCUUUCAUAUGUUACUUUACCAAUUUCGUUCAUCUUCUUCUCCUGAGCUUCUAAUACUCCCAGAGUGAUUUUGGUUUCCUCUUUCAUCAUUUUACACUGAUUUUAAGUAUGAUUUUCGAAUUUUGUUGCAUUUAUAUCAUAUACUCCGAAAAUGUGUUUCGUUUUAGAUUUUGUGGUGGUUUUUCCUAAAGAUCUAGCUGAUUCUGUCAUUUAGAGUUUCGAUCUUGUUAUUAGAUUUGUUCUCUUCAUAUUGUCUUGUAUUUCUUCAUCUUUUGAUCAAUUUUUGUAGGUUUUCAUCUUCAAAACUUAGUUUUUUCAAAAUUUUUGGGAAUCAUUGUAACGACCCAGCCCACUAGCAAUAAUAACUCGUUGGGCCCAAACACCAGCCCAAAAAUGCUUAAGCCCAGUUAUUAUUACUAGUGUCUAAGUCUCUUAUAAACCCAAUGACAACCCCUUUCCCAUCCGAUGUGGGACUAUGUCACAGACUCCCCCCGUUAAGGCCCUGACGUCCUCGUCAGUUCAAUCACACACACAGCCCAAGAUCACCAGGCGAUGUGAGACUCGUCUCGCUAGCCCGUCAUCCAGACCCUGGCUCAGCCGAGACUCGCCACACAUGUCCAGCUGGUGAACCGGCUCUGAUACCAAAUGUAACGACCCAGCCCACUAGCAACAAUAACUCGUUGGGCCCAACCACCGGCCCAAAAUGCUUAAGCCCAGUUAUUAUUACUAGUGUCUAAGUCUCUUAUAAACCCAAUGACAACCCCAUUCCCAUCCGAUGUGGGACUAUUGGGGUGUCACAGACUCCCCCCGUUAAGGCCCUGACGUCCUCGUCAGUCCAAUCACACACACAGCCCAAGAUCACCAGGCGAUGUGAGACUCGUCUCGCUAGCCCGUCAUCCAGACCCUGGCUCAGCCGAGACUCGCCACACAUGUCCAGCUGGUGAACCGGCUCUGAUACCAAAUGUAACGACCCAGCCCACUAGCAACAAUAACUCGUUGGGCCCAAACCAACAGCCCAAAAUGCUUAAGCCCAGUUAUUAUUACUAGUGUCUAAGUCUCUUAUAAACCCAAUAACAACCCCAUUUCCAUCCGAUGUGGGAUUAUUGGGGUGCCACAGACUCCCCCCGUUAAGGCCCUGACGUCCUCGUCAGUCCAAUCACACACACAGCCCAAGAUCACCAGGCAAUGUGAGACUCGUCUCGCUAGCCCGUCAUCCAGACCCUGGCUCAGCCGAGACUCGCAACACAUGUCCAGCUGGUGAACCGGCUCUGAUACCAAAUGUAACGACCCAGCCCACUAGCAACAAUAACUCGUUGGGCCCAAC